rnacentral:lncRNA from 1 species
GAGGGAAGUAAUAUUGUCACGUGAUAGUUUGAAUGUAUGUUCCCACCCAAUGUCAUGAGGAACUGCAAUCCCCAGUGUUGGAGGUGAGUCCUGAUGGGAGUUGUUUGGGUCAGGGGGACCUAUGGCUUGUUUCUCUCAUGGCUUGUUGCUGUCUUUGUGAUAAUCAGUGAGUUCUAGUGAGCUGCACCUUCCUACACCACUCUCUCUGUCUCACUCCUGCUUUCGCCAUGUGACUGCCUGCUCCCCGUUCACCUUCCGCUAUGAUUGAAAGCUUCCUGAGGCCUUCACCAGAAGCUGAGCAGAUGCUGGUGCCAUGCUUCCUUUACAGGCAGAUGCCAGGCAGACGUCACUGUGAAUCACUGUGCCCAGCAAUGAAUAAUUCUUUACAAGGGGACAAACCCUGUCUGGACAUGGUGACUCAUGCCUGGAAUCCUAGCACUUUGGGAGACUGAGCUGUGAGGACUGCUUGAGACAAAGAAUUAGAGAACAGCCUGGGCAACACAGCAUAAUCCUGACUCUAUUACUUAAAAUUCUAAAUAAAAGUCUGAAAAGCAGCAUUUCCCACCUAUUCUCUCUGAGGGAGCCUUCAUCUACAUAACAAGGUCUCCUUUGCUAGCCAAGCUUCUUCCUUUCCUUUAGCAUAAUCUGUCUUGCCAUUAAAAAUGACUUCCCCACCAAACCUGGAAUUUUUUUGGCCAUGCCAAGUCUGCAUUUUUCCUGGCCUCAGAAUGGUAUGUAAGCUUUUUUGUCUUAUUGUUGGGUGGGUCCUCAUUCUGAAGGCUCCCAUAUAUACAUGUUAAAUAAAUUUGUAUGACUUUUCUCCUAUUAAUUCGCCUAAGUUCCUUGAUCUGAAAAUUUUUUUCCUGUUUUCUCACCUUAUUUUAUUAAAAAAAGUUCAAAAACAAGCAUAUCUAAAAAUGAGCAUUUUCAUAUCCCAGAAAUCAAGGUAUUUUCCAUAGAUAACCAGAAAAUGCUAUUUAGUAAUUGCCUAACAUCAACACAGAGUGAUAUUAAAACCUUAUUGUGUAAAGUGGAAUUCUGGAAGCUUAGCUUUGAAUACAUUUCAUUUUGUCUGUGAAACAUUGAAGAGUGUGUGUGGUGUUAUGAUAUGUAUUGGUUUUCAUCCAGGGUAAUAAUGUUGGGUGUGUUAGACCUCUGGGGAAGGCCCCUGACCUGCUGCCCUCUUUCCACUCUAAUGUUUCCCCACCUUUUUGAUUGUGGGUCUUAAAACCCUCCCAUGAGAGGGUCCCACUGACUUCAUGAAGACUUUUAGCCUUGGAAAUACUCGUGAUAUUCCCUAUCUGUAGCUGUGUGUCUGAAGUUAGCUCAGAAUAAACCACAAGUGUGUAGAUUGCUAAAAUAACUUACUUCUAAACACUGAAACUCAAAAACUGCAGAUUUCUUUGUCUAAGCAGAUGCAGAAAAGCAGAAGUUAUAAAGCAUCCGGACUCAAACAGGCACCAUCACUGCCUUCUAAAAUUAGUAGCCUUCCUGGCAUAUGAACACCCUUUGGGCCUGUGCUCCAGUGUCUCUUUGGGUUGGUCCUUGGGCUUUUUGUGAAACAUCAAGACACCUCCAUAGUCUAGGCCAAUGUCAGGCUCUCCAGUGUGUCCUGUUCAUCACCCUCACCCUGCACUUUCAUUGUCACUGUCAUUGGCCAUUCCAACAUUGUGCUUGCAUCCUGUGGAAAGUCACAUUUGGGGUCAAGUGGAUGGUGUUGUUUCUACUGUUUGGUUAAAAGUGUCAGGGUGUAUUUGGCCUUCAAGGGAGGAUAAGGCAGGGGUUGGAUUCAGGUGCACCCAACUCUUGUUUUUUUCAUUUUGAGACAGAGUCUUGCUCUGUCGACUAGGUUGGAGAGUGCAAUGGUGUGAUCUCAGUUCAGUGUAACAACCACCUCCCAGGCUCAAGCGAUUCUCCUGCCUCAGCCUCCUGAGUAUCUGGGAUUACAGGGAUUACACCACGAUGCCCAGCUAAUUUAUCUAUUUCUUAAGGUUUCACCAUGUUGGCCAGGCUGGUCUUGAACUCCUGACCUCAAGUGAUCCACUCUCCUUGGCCUCCCAAAGUGCUAAGAUUACAGGUGUGAGCCACCGUACCUGCUCAGGUGCCCCCACCUCUGUCACUGCCCUGUCUUCCCUGCUGUGAAUCAUGCUGUGUGAUCUGACAAUCAAUGAUUCCACCCUUCACUGAUGUGGAUACAUUAUCUGGGACUGGGUAUGUCAUCUCCACACACAGACAGGGUUUGGUCAGUGAUUGAUGCUGCAUCCCGUGAUGCCUGGACUUUGACCUUAGGGAGUUUUAAAUAAGCGUUUCUGAAGAGCAGCUUCAUUGGAACCUUAAUGAAAAUGAAUUUUUCCAUGCCAUUGCAUAACAUAUAAAAGUGACUUUUCCAUGUUGCCAUUAACUUUACAUGGCUGAAAUAAACAGGCUGUUGACAAGUUAGUAUCAACAGCACAUUAUCAGAGAAAGAAAAGGCUGUAUUUAGACAAUUUACAUUAUUAUUGUAAUUUAUUAGCUUCCUGUGACUCACUAAACCAACCUGAAAAAAAUAGCUUUCUAAGGUAUAAAUGAAUUUCUAUGUUUUACCCAACGUACUUUCUGGUAAACAGCACCCAUACAUUUUAUGAAAUAUUUUAGUCUUUAGAGAAUAAGGCAAAAACAGCUCCAGGAGUCUAGAGCUGACAUCCCCUCACCACAAGGCCAAGUCUUUUUUUUUUUUUUUUUUGAGACGGAGUUUUGCUCCUGUUGCCCAGGCUAGAGUGCAAUGGCACAAUCUUGGCUCACUGCAACCUCUGCCCCCCAGAUUCAAGCGAUUCUCCUGUGCCAGCCUCCCAACUAGCUAGGAUUACAGAAGCAGGCCACCACGCCUGGCCAAUUUUUGUAGUUUUAGUAGAGACAGGGGUUUCAUCAUAUUGAUCAGGCCAGUCUUGAACUCCUGACCUCAGGUGAUUCACCUGCUUUGGUUUCUAUCCAGUGUGAGUCCUACCAUGUUUUCGAAGGUGUGAGGUAGAUCUGAAGGUUUUUCCACAUUGCUUACACUCAUAGGGUUUCUCUCCAGUGUGAGUCCUUUCAUGUUAUCGAAAAGAAGUGAAAGAAAUAAAGGCUUUCCCACAUUGCUUACACUCAUAGGGUUUCUCUCCAGUGUAAGAUUUUUCAGGUAUUUGAAAUGACUUGGCAGAAUAAAAGCCUUUCCCACAUAUCUUACAUUUAUAAGGUCUUUCUACAGAGUGCAUUCUUACGUGUGUUUGUGUCCUUUCAUGAAUUCGAAGGUUCUUGGCAGAUCUGAAGGCUUUCCCACAUGGCAUGCAUUUAUAGGG